GACGAACGCUGGCGGCGUGCUUAACACAUGCAAGUCGAACGGUGAAGCUCCAGCUUGCUGGAGUGGAUCAGCGGCGAACGGGUGAGUAACACGUGAGCAACCUGCCCCUGACUCUGGAAUAAGCGCUGGAAACGGCGUCUAAUACUGGAUACGAGAAGGGUCCGCAUGGGCACUUUCUGGAAAGUUUUUCGGUUGGGGAUGGGCUCGCGGCCUAUCAGCUUGUUGGUGAGGUAAUGGCUCACCAAGGCGACGACGGGUAGCCGGCCUGAGAGGGCGACCGGCCACACUGGGACUGAGACACGGCCCAGACUCCUACGGGAGGCAGCAGUGGGGAAUAUUGCACAAUGGGCGAAAGCCUGAUGCAGCGACGCCGCGUGAGGGAUGACGGCCUUCGGGUUGUAAACCUCUUUCAGCAGGGAAGAAGCGAAAGUGACGGUACCUGCAGAAGAAGCACCGGCUAACUACGUG
rnacentral:rRNA from 1 species